rnacentral:rRNA from 2 species
UAGUGAUUAGAGUUUGAUCCUGGCUCAGGACGAACGCUGGCGGCGUGCCUAAUACAUGCAAGUCGAACGAACUCUGGUAUUGAUUGGUGCUUGCAUCAUGAUUUACAUUUGAGUGAGUGGCGAACUGGUGAGUAACACGUGGGAAACCUGCCCAGAAGCGGGGGAUAACACCUGGAAACAGAUGCUAAUACCGCAUAACAACUUGGACCGCAUGGUCCGAGUUUGAAAGAUGGCUUCGGCUAUCACUUUUGGAUGGUCCCGCGGCGUAUUAGCUAGAUGGUGGGGUAACGGCUCACCAUGGCAAUGAUACGUAGCCGACCUGAGAGGGUAAUCGGCCACAUUGGGACUGAGACACGGCCCAAACUCCUACGGGAGGCAGCAGUAGGGAAUCUUCCACAAUGGACGAAAGUCUGAUGGAGCAACGCCGCGUGAGUGAAGAAGGGUUUCGGCUCGUAAAACUCUGUUGUUAAAGAAGAACAUAUCUGAAAGUAACUGUUCAGGUAUUGACGGUAUUUAACCAGAAAGCCACGGCUAACUACGUGCCAGCAGCCGCGGUAAUACGUAGGUGGCAAGCGUUGUCCGGAUUUAUUGGGCGUAAAGCGAGCGCAGGCGGUUUUUUAAGUCUGAUGUGAAAGCCUUCGGCUCAACCGAAGAAGUGCAUCGGAAACUGGGAAACUUGAGUGCAGAAGAGAGGACAGUGGAACUCCAUGUGUAGCGGUGAAAUGCGUAGAUAUAUGGAAGAACACCAGUGGCGAAGGCGGCUGUCUGGUCUGUAACUGACGCUGAGGCUCGAAAGUAUGGGUAGCAAACAGGAUUAGAUACCCUGGUAGUCCAUACCGUAAACGAUGAAUGCUAAGUGUUGGAGGGUUUCCGCCCUUCAGUGCUGCAGCUAACGCAUUAAGCAUUCCGCCUGGGGAGUACGGCCGCAAGGCUGAAACUCAAAGGAAUUGACGGGGGCCCGCACAAGCGGUGGAGCAUGUGGUUUAAUUCGAAGCUACGCGAAGAACCUUACCAGGUCUUGACAUACUAUGCAAAUCUAAGAGAUUAGACGUUCCCUUCGGGGACAUGGAUACAGGUGGUGCAUGGUUGUCGUCAGCUCGUGUCGUGAGAUGUUGGGUUAAGUCCCGCAACGAGCGCAACCCUUAUUAUCAGUUGCCAGCAUUAAGUUGGGCACUCUGGUGAGACUGCCGGUGACAAACCGGAGGAAGGUGGGGAUGACGUCAAAUCAUCAUGCCCCUUAUGACCUGGGCUACACACGUGCUACAAUGGAUGGUACAACGAGUUGCGAACUCGCGAGAGUAAGCUAAUCUCUUAAAGCCAUUCUCAGUUCGGAUUGUAGGCUGCAACUCGCCUACAUGAAGUCGGAAUCGCUAGUAAUCGCGGAUCAGCAUGCCGCGGUGAAUACGUUCCCGGGCCUUGUACACACCGCCCGUCACACCAUGAGAGUUUGUAACACCCAAAGUCGGUGGGGUAACCUUUUAGGAACCAGCCGCCUAAGGUGGGACAGAUGAUUAGGGUGAAGUCGUAACAAGGUAGCCGUAGGAGAACCUGCGGCUGGAUCACCUCCUUAAU